AGAAGCUUUAGUUUUUGACUUCAGUAUUAUUUUCCAGCCCGUGCUGUGAUGAUGUUCUCUCUCAUACCACUACCUACCAUCAGAUCUGUCCUAUCCAAGCAAGUGCAAGGUUCAUCUUAUGGUGAGUAACAUGUCUCUUUGUGAUAAUAAUCUCAGUUAAUGCAAAUGUUCACAUUCUUCAUGUAGGUGUGCAGGUGAUUUGGCAUUACAUUUCCUCUCCCUCUCCCUUCCCCUGAAGUGUGUAGUGUGUGUAUAGUUGGUGUAGAGCAGGGUUAGGGAACCUUUGGCACUCCAGCUGUUGUGGACUACAUCCCCAUGAAGCUCGUAUAGCUAUAAUUAAGGCAAUGCAUCAAUGCAUUAGGGGAGAAAUAUGCCUAACCUUGGUGUAGAGCGUGUGUAGUGUGUGUAAGUACAGGAGGUGUAGUGUGUAUAUUGGAUGUACAGAGUGUGUGUGUGUUUAAUAAGUGCAGGGAAUGUAGUGUGUGUGUAUAUAGGGGGUAUAGUGUGCGUAGUGUGUUUGUGUCUGUAAAUGCAGGAGUGUCAUGUGCGUAUAUAGGGGGUAUAGAGUGUGUGUAGUGUAUUUGUUAAAUGUAGGUAAGCAGGCCCGGCGCUACCAUAAGGCGCCUUAGGGCGCACCGGCCCAGGGGAAGUGAUCGCCAGGUGACCAGAAGGAGGAGAGCGCCAUUCGCAUCGCUCCCCUCCUGUUGGUGACUGCGUGGAGCGUGGCCCGAGCGGUCAUAAUGCUACUUACCCAGUCUGACAUGAAAAGAUAAAAGAUACAGGGGACAACCAUAAAAAGGUACAAGGGGGAGGGGAACAAUAAAAGAUACAGGACAGGAGGGGGAAGACAAUAAAAGGUACAGGAGGGGAAAGGAAGGAGACAAUAGGUAAAGGGGGGAGCAAUAAAAGGUACAGGAGAGGAUGGGGACAAUAAAAGGUACAGGAUGGGAGCGGGUACUAUGAAAAGUUCAGAAGGGGGGGACAAUAAAAGGUACAGAAGGGGGAACAAUAAUAAAAGGUACAAGUGGAGAGGCAAUAAAAGGGACAGGAGGGGAGGGGGGACAUUAAAAUGGGGGGGAUUGAAAAACACAGGAGGGAAAGGGGGACUAUUAAAGGUUCAGGAGGGGAGGAGGUGAGAUAAUAAAAGGUACAGAGGGGCAAUAAAAUGGAGAGGAGGGGCAAUAAAAGGUGCAGAGGGAUAAUAAAAGAAACAGGAGUGCUGUGGGACACAAAUAGAUAUACUGGAGGUUGAGACAAAUACACAGAGGGGCUGGGGGGAAAGAUGCACAGAGGGGUUGUGGGGGAGAAAGAAGUACAAAGGGGCUAGGGGGAGAAAGGUGCUGGGGUAAAAAGACGCACAAUGUGUUGUGGAGAAAGAGACACAGAAAGCUGCAGGGGGAUGAAAGACACACAAAAGGGCUGGGGGAAAGAAAGAGACAGACAAAGGGGCUGGGCGAAGUAAAAAAAUACACAAGGGGGGUUGUAAGAGACAGAUUAGAGAAAAUACAGCAAAGUGGACACACAAAAGGUAAAGGGGGGCAAGACAUAAAAAAUGGGAUAUAAAACACUAAAGGGGGCAAGUUAGUCAAAAGGGGUGUUAGAAGACACACAGGUGAAGAUACAUUUUUUUUUUUGGUGGGGAGGGGGUGGCAAAAUGCAUCUUCUCCUGUGUAGUCAAAAAUCCUUGCACCGGCCCUGUAGGUAAGUGAAGGGUGUGUAGUGUGUGUGUAUAGGAAGGUAUGUAAUGUGUGUCUGUGUGUGUGUAAGUAAGUGCAGAUGGUGUAGGGGGUAGGAUGGGGGCUUAAACAAAUCAUUUAAAACAAACACCUUUACACCCCCUCUUAUUACUUUGCAGGGGGAGAACUCUGGUGGUCCAGUGAGCUAGUUAUGUGGUCUCAGCCAGUGUUUCAGAGUGGGUUGCCACUGCAUUCUGACAAUAUCGGAGCUCACCAGAGCUGGGUUGGGGGGAGUGGGGGUGUUUACCAAAACCAAAAUUUUGUUUUAUGAAAACUGUGGUUUUUGGUUGUAGUAACUGUAAGUGUCAAGUUAUUUCAGUAGUAGUAUGAGUCCAAAUGCAUAGGAGGAUAAUUGAAUAUUGCAUGGUACCUAUAGGGGAGAAAGGAGUGUGAAUAAUAUGAGGCCAGUUAAAGUUGAAUUAAAAUGAGAUAUUGGAUGUGAUAAAUUUUGUAAUUUAGAGAUCUGUUAAAAGAAAUAUUUGAAUCGUGGAAAAUUCACCCGCCUAUACUUCCCCCUCCAAACACAGCACGUUCAGGCAGAGUAGACACCUGCCAUCCAUGCCUACUCUGCCUUAUCACACAGCCGGCCUUUUCCUGGGCCCCUCCCAGGAGAAGGUUGCUUAGGUGGCCAGCCGGCCUGCUCCUGGAGUACCUCCUGCUUUUGGUUGAAACACUGUGUUCUAUAGGAUCCCACAUUAAGCCUGCCACUAUAAGGGUGGUAAUAUAAUGUUACAUAGUUACAUAGCUGAAAAGAGACUUGCGUCCAUCAAGUUCAGCCUACCUCACAUUUGUUUUUUGCUGUUGAUCCAAAAGAAGGAAAAAAAACCCAGUUUGAAGCACAAUUUUGCAACAAGCUAGGAAAAAAAUUCCUUCUUGACCCCAGAAUGGCAGUUAGAUUUAUCCUUGGAUCAAGCAGUUAUUACCCUACAUUGAAAGAUUAUAUCCUUGAAUAUUCUGUUUUGCAAGUAUGCAUCUAGUAGCCAUUUGAACAUCUGUAUGGACUCUGAUAAAACCACUUCUUCAGGCAGAGAAUUCCACAUCCUGAUUGUUCUUACAGUAAAAAAAACCUUUUCUUUGCCUUAGACGAAAUCUUCUUUCUUCCAGUCUAAACGCAUGGCCUCAUGUCGUAUGUAAAGUCCGGUUUGUGAAUAGAUUUCCACACAGUGGUUUGUAUUGGCCCCGAAUAUAUUUGUAUAAUGUUAUCAUAUCCCCUCUCAGGCGACGUUUUUCUAAACUAAAUAGGUUUAAAUUUGUUAACCUUUCUUCAUAGCUGAUAUGUUCCAUUCCUUUUAUUAAUUUUGUAGCCCACCUUUGCACUUUUUCUAGUGCCAUAAUAUCCUUGUUUAGAACAGGUGCCCAAAAUUGCACAGCAUAUUCAAUAUGGGGUCUUACCAGUGAUUUAUAAAGAGGCAAAAUGAUAUUCUCGUCCCAAGAAUGAAUGCCCUUUUUCAUGCAUGACAAUACCUUACUGGCCUUGGCCACUGCUGAUUGACAUUGCACAUUGUUGCAUAGUUUGUUGUCUAUAACAAUUCCCAAGUCCUUUUCGUGUGUUGUUAUCCCUAAUUUGCUUCCAUUAAUGGUAUACGUUGCUUGUGAAUUCUUUAUGCCAAAGUGCAUAACUUUGCAUUUUUUAACAUGAAAUUUAAUCUGCCAUUUGAGUGCCCAGUCCCCCAGUCUAUCUAAAUCCCUCUGCAGCAAAGUAAUAUCUUGCUCACAUUGUAUUAUUUUACAAAGUUUUGUGUCAUCUGCAAACACUGAAACAUGACUUUCAAUGUCAUCCUUUUAGUAUUGGAUACUUGGUGCCUUAGGAUUGUGUGUUGGUGGCAAAUCUACUUUGACACAAGACAUAGAUUUUAACAAUUCAUGUUUGAAUUUGAGCUGUCUUGAAGUAUUUGGACUCACUGAAGUCCAGACCAAAUUCAAGCUCAUUCGAAACAUGCUCUGCAAAAUUCACACAUUGGUACUUACAGUGAACAAUGUCUAGGUUUUGCAGUGGGAACCUAAACUGUGCCAAAUGGUUUGCCCCAUUCAGUAUAUUGCCAUUCAGACUUGAAUAAGCCUGUAAAACUUUUUUCACAAUAAAAAAAAAAAAAAAAUCAUUGGUUUUGUUUUAUAAAGAAACAAGCACAUUUAUAAAGGUUAUCAGCAACAGUUCCUGCGUAAAUAAAACUUCCAGUAAAUAAAACAGAAGAGCACUCAUCAUGUUAUAGGGUAUUAUAUUGCCUAUUUUCACAAAUUCUAAAGUCAAAUUAUAGUUGUUUCUCUAAAUGUCUGUACCCAAAGCAAGUUUUAACAUUGUUACUCACACUGACUAAGAAGAGACAGAUUAAUUUUUAUUCCAGGAAUUCCCCAUUGCUUGUUACCCUUGAUUUGUUAAAAACAAAUGACAUUCACAGGGUUUAACUUUAUCCACACAAAAAUAACAAUGGUAUUGCUGCACUUUAGUGACCUCCGGUUGACUGGCUUACUGCUGCUGAUAUUUAUUGUGGUAUAUAAAUUCUCGUUAUUUAAGUCCAUACUCAUUUCCUGUUUGACCUCCCACGCUCAUUACACAAUUCUGUUUCUGAAAACGAACUCCAUGCUCCAUGAGCAGGGAAGCUAACACCAAUUUAGGCAAACCUAUGGUUAUCUAAAUCUGUUUUGUUCUAUUUCAAUACUCUCUAAACCAUUACUAUUUGGCCAUUGAAUCACUUUUUGAUUUAUUCACUAAAUUGGGAAACAUUAGGAUUUCAGGCUGAAUUCCAAGCAAAUUUAAAGUAUUCAGCCAUAAUAGCUGAAUUGAUAGAGUUCUCAAAUCCGAUCUGUUUUUAGUUUGACUAUUUUGGUCUGAAAUUGGAAAUUCAUUUUAUAUUCACUGUGUCUUUAAUAUGCAUUUUCUAACUACAAACCUAAAAAGCAUUACAGGCCUACCGUGCAUGUAUGGCAAUUGCUUUGCUGCACCAAUCAGCAUUUCCUCAUAGAAAUGCAUUACACCGAUACAUCCAGGGCCGGUGCAAGGAUUUCUGCCGCCGUAGGCAAAGAUCUAUUUUGCCGGCCCCUCAGAUCACUAACUCACUGAAAGACACACACUGACACACACGCUAGCUCACUGACACACACACAGACACUUACUGACAAACAUACACACACUCACUGACAUACAUACACUCACUCAUUGACAGUCAGACACACAUACACUCACUCACUGACACACACACACAGACACUUACUGACAGACACACUCACUGACACACACACACACACACAGACACUCACUGACAUACAUUCACUCACUCACUGACAGACACACACACACGACACUUACUGACAGACAGACAUACACUCACUGACAGACACAUAAUCACUCACUCACUGACAGACAUACACUCACUCACUGACACACACACAGACACUCACUGACAAACACACACACAGGCAGACACUCACUGACACACUUAAACACUAACCUCCCUGCUGGGGUCCAGUGUGGAGCAGCUCCUCAGUUCUCCAGCAUGCAGUUUAGUGUGCCUGCUCUGCAUUACCUAAUACAGGUUCGGGGGUGCCCUGAGGGGGCCAGAUGGCCACCUCCUGGGCCCCCUAUGACAGCGCUCUUUUUGGCGCCCCCACCUUCGGGCACCUUGAGGAUCGACCUAACGCUGGGGGGCGGCUCAAGAGCCGCUCUCCCAGCGCUGCGGCCCCAUACAAGGGGUGCCCACCAGGAAACAUCCCAGUGGGUGCUCCCAGCAGAUCGGCGCCCUAGGCAAAUGCCUAAUUUGCCUAACGGUGGCACCGGCCUUAAAUGCAUCUCUAUGGAAGUGUUGAUCUUGAUGAUGCUGAGCCUGAAGACAGUGAACUACGGUUAUGGUGCCAGGAGUUCCUCUGCACUCCAUCCCACCCCAUUGUAAGUAGUCAGACUAUUUUUGAGCAUUUUGACUUCAUACCUGGGAUUCAAUUAGGGGUCCCCAAGGCCAGGGGCGUUUUAGCCGCGAGGCAAACAAGGCAUUUGCCUUGGGCGGCAUUUUUCAGGGGGCGGCAAAAAAACGCCGCCCCCAAAUGCCCAGGGCAAAUGCCUAGUUAGCCUUGCGGCUAACUGGCAUCCCGAGCGGGCGGGCGGCGCUGGCAGGCGGGCGGCUGGCGAGGGAGCUCUUCCCCUGAGCGGUCUGCUCAGCUCCCUCACGUGCCGCAGAGUGAGGCUGGGAGCCGGAAGAUGACGUCAUCAACCCAGCUGCCAGCCUCACUUUGCGGCGCGCGAGGGAGCUGAGCAGACCGCUCAGGGGAAGAGCUCCCUCGCCAGCCACCCGCCUAGCCCGACAACCACUGGACCACCAGGGAAGUAAUGAACCCCUACCCCCCCCCAGCACUCCCAAUGGUAAGGAGGUUGGGGGGGGGGAAUAAAAAAACGUGUUAAUGUGAGUGAGUGAGUGAGUGUGUGUUUUGUUAGUGUGUGUGUGUGUGUCUGACUGUGUGAGUGUGAGUGUGUGUCUGACUGUGUGUCUGACUGUGUGUCUGUUAGUGUGUGUCUGAUUGUGUGUGUCUGACUGUGUGUGUGUGUCUGUUAGUGUGUGUCUGACUGUGUGUGUGUGUCUGUUAGUGUGUGUCUGACUGUGUGUCUGUUAGUGUGUGUCUGGCUGUGUGUCUGACUGUGUGUCUGUUAGUGUGUGUCUGACUGUGUGUGUCUGACUGUGUGAGUGUGAGUGUGUGUCUGUUAGUGUAUGUCUGACUGUGUGUCUGUUAGUGUGUGUCUGACUGUGUGUCUGACUGUGUGUGUCUGACUGUGUGUCUGACUGUGUGUGUCUGACUGUGUGUCAGUUAGUGUGUAUGUGUCUGUUAGUGUGUGUGUCUGUUAGUGUGAGUGUAUUUGCCUGUGAGUGUGUGUGUUAAUGUGUGUGUGUUUGUUAGUGUGUUUGUGUGUGUCUGUUAGUGUGUGUCUGACUGUGUUUGUCUGUUAGUGUGUAUGUGUGUGUCUGACUGUGUCAGUGAGUGUGUGUGUGUCUGCUAGUGUGUGUGUGUCUGCUAGUGAGUGUGUGUGUCUGCUAGUGAGUGUGUGUGUCUGCUAGUGAGUGUGUGUGUUUUCCUGUGUGUGUGUUUUCCUGUGUGUGUGUUUUCCUGUGUGUGUGUUUGCCUGUGUGUGUGUUUGCCUGUGUGUGUGUUUGCCUGUGAGUGUGUGUGUCAGUGAGUGUGUGUCUGUUAGUGAGUGUGAGUGUGUCUGUUAGUGUGUGUGUGUUUCUGUUAGCGAGUGUAUGCGUAUCUGUCAGUGAAUGUGUGUGUGUGUGUGUGUAUUUAGAGGGCGGGGGAAGGGUUGGGGGGUGGGUUGGCACGGCGGGGGUGGGGGGGCGCCUGAGAUUUGUCCUGCCUAGGGCAGCACAAAACCAGGAUACACCACUGCCCAAGGCAGAGACUAGCUCAAUAACCAAGAGUGAUAAACAGGCAGACAGUAAUCAUCCAAAUCACUCAACAACUGCCCUUUUAAAACUGUCAUGAAACAAUGAGAUUGCAGUUAUUUUCCUUGAUUUUGCCAAGGCCCUUGACACAGUAGAGUCGACCAUGGCAUUCUUUUGCAAAAACUUAAAAACUCAGGUAUUGGUGAUCGUCCGCUAACCUGGUGUCGAUCAUAUGUAACAGAUCGAUCGCAAUAUGUGGCCAUUUCUAAUAUUGCCUCCCUCUUCCAAUCAUGUGUGUUGUUGCCCAAAGCCCCCUACUCUUCACAUUAUUUAUAAAUGAUCUGCCUAAUGUCUGCAAAGCCUUAACUAUACACAUGUAUGCAGGCGACAGUUAUCUAGGCUAGUAAACCCAAGCUACCCCAGCUUGAGACUGUGCGCCAAAACCAAUUUACAGAGGUAGAAAAGUGAAUAGCGGAUAACAAACUCUUCCUAAACACUGACAAAACUGUUAAAAUGAUCCUUGGAACUGUACCUAAAUUACGUAAACAACAAAACCCCCAACUAUAGAACACUUUCAAAUAUGUAGGUAUAUUUCUAGACCCCAAUCUAUCCUUUGACCGAUACAUUGAAAACUCUCUUUAAAACUAUAUCCAAAACUAGGUGUCCUGUAGAAACAUAUCCUGCCUAAGCCAUACAGUAAGGAAACAAUAAAUGCUACUGCCGGUCAUUGAUUAUCGGGAUGUAGUGUAUGCACCUGCACCGCAAAUCCACCUUAAUAAACUUAAUGCAUUGUAUAAUUUGUUCUGCCACUUUAUACUAGAAUAUAAUUACACGACCCACCAUUGUGACAUGUUAUGUUGUUAUGUUGAAUUCUGACACACUUCAUUUUUCCAGCCUUGUGCAUAAGAGCUUUUAUGAGAAGCUCCCACUCUACCUGAGUAGAAUGCUCUCCCUGGCAGUUCCCACCUCCUAUAACCUCUGAUACAGUACUAUCGCGAUAUUUGGCAUACCGCAAUACAAAAAUAAAGUGGCUCGAUCCUCAUUUUCCUACAUUGCAUCACAAUUAUGGAAUAACCUCAGGGACACAGAGCUGUUUGGCAGCAUACCUCAAUACACAUGUCAUUGCUGACUAUAUUUAUUACCUAUUAUCUGUUACAUUUAUAUAUUUGUGUAUGUAUAUAUAUAUUGUAUUAUUUUUUUUGCAAUAUUAUAUUGUACCCUAUUGUAACAAUGUAGUGAUUGUGGGCUGAGGACAUAACUGAAAACAAGAGAAAUCUAAAUGUAUCCUUCCUGGUAAAAUAUUUUGUAAGUAAAUAAAAAUAAGAUGCCAGAGAAAUAGAUUUUUUUAUUUUUUUUUAUUUGCUUUCUUGGUUUUCACAGAAUAAAGACAUUUUAUUCUAAUGAUCUACUUAUAUAAAUAUUAUUUAUUGUACAUACAUAGGGAUGGUCUGUGGGAGUGCACAUUUCAUAUAUAUUUUUAUAUUUUUUAUUAUUUGUGUAUUAUUUAAUAGGUGUAGUACACACAGAGCUUGUUGGCACCUCACCUUAUAUAUUUGUAUACAAUUACUUUUGUGUGCGUAUUUUUGCCUCAUUUUUUUUUUUUACAUGAUAGAUUGUUUCCCCUGAAAACAUUAAUGUGCAGCCAUUCAUGUUCUGAAAAGGAAAUGUGUAGGUAUUUGCCAAAGACAGCAUGCUUUAUAUUUUGCGGGGGGAUGAUGGGCUGAUUGGAGAUGUAUACUCAAGAGUAGCCACACUAGAUUAUUUUUAAAACCCUCCUUUAAAAACAUAUUUCAAUCCCUCGAUAUAAAAUGUGCACCACUCGUGACAUAUUCUGUACUGACAACGCAAUUUCUAUGCGUUAUUUUUCCCUAUUAAUAAGUCUCUAUAAGCUUGUUUGUCUAACAAUACACAAAGAAAAUAAAGAAUGUCAAAAUAAACAAAAAAAAACAUACUUCAAAUAUGGACUCUACACUUCACUCCCUUAUUUUAUUUUAAAAAAAAGUCUCUCUUUUUGGCAUGCACUGGUUAGAUAUGCUUGGGGCAUAAGAAAAACUCACCAAAAACAUUUGGGGAUUUUACACCCAUAGUGUUAAAAAUUCCUUUAAACAGAGUAAGCACCUAAGCAAGUUUUGAAAUGAAUCUCUUCAUAUAACGCUCAUACCACAGGUCUAAUUUCACUGGCUCGACUCGAAUUGCAGAGCCAUACACUAGAGUGUGAAAUCUUCCGUAAUAUAAUAUGGAAUAAUGACCAUUGUUCCUAUUGUAUAUUUGUGUCUACAAUCACUAUUUUGAAAUCUUUCCACUUGUAGAACAGUUUUCACUACAUCACUAAAACAGCUCGAGGCAACAUAGGUAACAUAGGUGUUUCACGUGAAAAGACAAAAGCAAAGAAAAUGUCAGGGUGUGGACCAAUCUUCUAUUUAAAUAACUAUAUUACAGUGAGGGGAAAUAAAGGUAUUUGAUCCCCUACUGAUUUUGAACGUUUGCCAACUGACAAAGAAAUGAUCAGUCUAUAAGUUUUAUAGAGAGACAGAAUAACAAAGAAAAUACUGAAAAAUACUAGUCAAAAAAGUUAUAAAUUGAUUUGCAUGUCAAUAACUGAAAUAAGUAUUUGAUCCCCUUUGACUUUCUACUUGGUAGCAAAACCCUUGUUUGUAGUCACAGAGGUCAGAUGUUUCUUUGCCACCAGGUUUGCACACAUCUCAGAAGGGAUUUUGUCUUAUUCCUCUUUGCAGAUCCUCUCCAAGUCAUUAAGGUUUUGAGACUGACGUUUGGCAACUCGAACCUUCAACUCCCUCCACAGAUUUACUAUGGGAUUAAGGUCUGGAGACUGACUAAGCCACCCCAGGACCUUAAUGUGCUUCUUCUUAAGCCACUCUUUUGUUGCCUUGGCUGUGUGUUUUUGGUCAUUGUCAUGCUGGAAUACCCAUCCACUACCCAUUUUCAAUGCCUUGGCUGACAGAAGAAGAUCCUCACCCAAGAUUUGACAGUACAUGGCCCUGUCCAUCGUCCCUUUGAUGUGGUGCAGUUCUCCUGUCCCCUUAGCAGAAAAACAUGCCCAAAGCAUAAUGUUUCCACCUCCAUGUUUGACGGUGGGGGUGGUGUUCUUGGGGUCAUAGGCAGCAUUCCUCCUCCUCCAAACAUGGCCAGUUGAGUUGAUGCCAAAGAGCUCAAUUUUGUUCUCAUCUGACCACAACACUUUCACCCAGUUCUCCUCUGAAAUGUUCAGAUGUUCACUGGCAAACUUCAGACGGGCCUGUACAUGUGCUUUCUUGAGCAGCAGAACCUUGUGGGCGCUGCAGGAUUUCAGUCCUUUACGGCGUAGUGCGUUACCAAUUGUUUUCUUGGUGACUAUGGUCCCAUCUUCCUUGAGAUCAUUGACAAGAUCCUCCUGUGUAGUUCUGGGCUGAUUUCUUACCAUUCUCAUGAUCAUUAAAACUCCACGAGGUGAGAUCUUGCAUGGAGCACCAGACCGAGGGAGACUGGCAGUUAUUUUGUGUUUCUUUCAUUUGCAAAUAAUUGCACCAACUGUUGUCACCUUCUCACCAAGCUUCUUGGCAUUGGUUUUGGAGCCCAUUCCAUCCUUGUGUAGGUCUAUAAUCUUGUCCCUGACAUCCUUGGACAGCUCUUUGGUCUUGGUCAUGGUGGAGAGUUUGGAAUCUGAUUGAUUGAUUGCUUCUGUGGACAGGUGGUGUCUUUUAUACAGGUAAAGAGCUGAGAUUAGGAGCACUCCCUUUAAGAGAGUGCCCCUAAUCUCAGCUUGUUACCUGUAUAAAAGACACCUGGGAGCCAGAAAUCUUGCUGAUUGAUUGGGGAUCAAAUACUUAUUUUACUCAUUGACAUGCAAAUCAAUUAAUAAAAUUUUGGACAUGCGUUUUUCUACCUUUUUUUUUUUUUUUUUAAAUUCUGUCUCUCACUGUUAAAAUUCACCUACCAUUAAAAUUCUAGACUAAUCAUUUCUUUGUCAGUGGGUAAACGUUCAAAAUCAGCAGGGGAUCAACUACUUUUUUCCCUCACUGUAUGUUUUAUAGUUACCUUUUCAGACUCAAAAUAAAAAAAAUACCACAUAUUCUAAUGAAUGGUUUUCUUAUAUAUGUGUCAGUUUAAGACAGUAUUUGAGCAAUUCUUUUAUGUAUUCCAGGAAAAAUCUUUGUCGUACUUCAGUUCUCUCUGGCAAUCUCUGCAGUGAUUACCUCCAUUGCAUUCAACAAGAUCUACCAGGCUACGUUACAACUUUUCUCUGGUUCAAGUUUUAUCCUAUCUGCUGUAAUUGCUGCUCUGAGUCUUAUUCCCAUUGGGUAAGUAGAACGACAUUGUAACGGUAGCUUACUAUAUAGCACUAAGAAAAAACAUGGAAAGGCUGGUUAUGUGUUAGUAACUGUGCCUAUAUCAGUAUAUGUUAACUCGUUAAGGACAGAGGUAAUAGUCCAAAUUCAGAUCCAAAACAAAACCUAGAAAUGCAUGUGUUUGUUCCACCAUAAUGUAAGGGUUUCUCUUUAAGUUCCCCCAUACAUAUCAUAUAUUGUUUUUUAAAGGACAGAAAUAUUAAGUGUGAAUAAAAUGUUUAAAAAAAAAAUGAAAACGAAAAACAUUUUUUUAAAACUGUACAUCCAGUUCAACAAAAAAACAAAACUCAAAGUAGAUUCCUCUGUCAGUCCUGAUUGUUAAAUGCCUCAUAUGUUUAUGAUCUAAAUACACUUUUGGUAAUUAAUGUUAACCCUUUGCCAACCUGCCACCUAGAGCUAUGCACACUUUAACCCUGUGCUUACACCAAUGCUACUUGUAUACAUAUCCUUACCUUACCCUUAACCCGACACUAUCUAUAACCCUAGAACAGCAUUAACCCAAACCCAGCAUUAACCCUUACCUUUCUACACUCACACCCAUAAAUCUAACAUUAUCUCUAACGUAACCCUAACAUCUCCACUAAUCCCAAUCCUAAAGAAAACCUCUGCCAAUAUAAAUGUUCUUAAUUAAAACAGUAUAUGGAGGUCUGUUACAUUCAAUGUAAUCAUGAAUGGAGCCUGCUUCCAAGCUGAUUACACUGUGACCGGUGCUGGGCCACUGGCAAAGCUGGGAAUAGGCAGGGAGAGAUUGGCGGUCCCCCUGAAGCAGUCUGCACCCCAGAAACACCGCAGCUGUUAUCACUCUUCCGAGGUGUAAUGAAUGCCGUUAAAGGGCUCGAAGCAGGAAUAUGAGUGGGGAUUUUAACUCUGCUCACAUCAAAACUGCAGUCAUUACACACUAAAGGCAUUAAAGCCCAUUAUCGUUAGGACGUGCUGACACGUCUUAAGGUUCUUAAAGUUUAACUCCCUGAGAGACGUCAAAAAUAGGGAUAUGAAAGAAAUUUACGAAUUAAUUAGAAAAGUAGACGUUAUAUGUAAAGUAUGCUAAGAUAAAACUAAAAAAGCAAAAUUAAAUAUGAAGAGCUAAUAAAUAUACAAUCAUUGUAGAAACCUUGGUAUAUCUGAAGAUCAUAAAACCGAUACAUUAAGUGUAUCCUUUAUAAUGUUUCUACCGAGAUAAUUAAUUUUUUUCUGGUCCCUGAGCGCUCACUGUACGCAUACAAUAGAGAAAAAAGGGUAGGGUCGCACUCAGCCACAACAAUUCAACCCAGGGUGCUACUGAGCAUGGGUCAGCAAAAAACCACAAGAACAAUGGACAAAAUGAAAAAACUCAGGCACUCACUGCGAUUGUUUGCAGGCAGAUUUAUUGCAACGUUUCGACCUGUUAAGGUCUUUUUAAAGCUAACACCACAGUGGCAAAAUUGCACUUAUACAUACACAAGUUACAAACAAACAAUUAGUUAAAUAAACAAUUAGGCAAUUAGAAAUUACAUUAAACAAGUGUUAAAAAAAUAAUACAAUCAAUAUAUCAAGUUAAUGCAUCAAACUUUAAAAAAGACAUGGUAAUGAAUAAAUAGAUUCUAUUUGUACACUGUACAUAUACAGUCUCUCAAGUUAGAAUUAACCUAAUCAUUUAAAUGUAGCAGCAGGCAAAGCUGAGAUGCAGCACUAAAAAGCACACUCCGAAUUAAAAUGAAAACAUUAAAAAAAAACAUUGUUGGAGGUCCACAGUGCUCUAGACCUCGUCCAAGUGUCCUUUGUUCUGCUAGAUAGUUGCUUGGUGACCCUAACAUAUGCAGACACCAGGAGAAUGGGCAUUUCUUGGCCCGUUCUUUGUGCUUGAAAAUGUGAAUAUAUGACUUACCCUACCACCCACUGUGCAGGAUGGAAGGAAGUGGUAGGAUCAUUCACAGCCCCCUACCUGGUUUUGUUUCCUAUCUAGUCCUCAUCUAACAAUGAGGAGGAAGGGUAUACUCUCUAAGGUCUAUUUAGUUGGAAUAAAAUAGAAAAUCCCUUUCUUGUGGUUUUGCGGAAGGUCAUUUUGUCAUGCUCUUUCUAUAAUUUGAUGGACCCUCUUAUGGUUGUUGCCAAACCAGUUCAGUUUGCUGGUCAGGUCAAUCUGGAGUGCGUUUACUUUUUCCAUUGACAUUAGUUUGCUUCUCACUGUUUAGCGCACAGGAGGACCAUCAUCCACCAUAACAAAACGCAACUUUGCUCCUGUUGCCAAUUAUUUCUUCCUGCAGUGGAGAGACUGUCUCAAAAAAACCAACAAAAUAAAUUGUUUAGAAAAAAAUGUGGACAACAGAAAAAUCACAAUUAAUUAAUGUUAAUUUUAAUUAUAGAAAUCUUCAAUUACUGCCAUAAUUAUAUCCUAAAGGUCAUGUUUGAAAUCUAUGCUCUAUUUUCUCUGUAAGGGGGCUGUCCUAGGUAAUAGUUUGACAGCAUUUGUAGCUAAUUUCAGGAUUCAUCAGUAGUGAUAGACAUUUUAAAGUGUUAUGUUACAUUCCAUUUUUAGAUAAAUUAUUGUUAUGAUUAAGUUUUUACAUAAAAAGAACAGCUCAUUUGAUUUAGUUUAAUUAUUCUUGAAUAGCAACAAGUAAAAUGUAACAUGUUAAUCGCAGUGUGUAACUGUUAAUCAUAUUUUGUCAUCUCUUUUAGUAUUGCAGCAUAUAAGUAUCCAACAAGACCCAAUACUGAUGCCACAACGUGACCAGAAUCCAAGAUGGCAAAGACUGAUCAAUCCUGUUUCUUUGAUGUAUAUUUCACUAAAUCUUUAUAAUGAACAUUUUAGUUCCCGUACUAGGCUCAUGUGUUUUACAAUAAAUACUCACCUGUUUCAAGCUUUAAGAAGACAGUAUAAAACCCCACAACAUUCGCUAACUGGAAAAGGCCUGGUAUAUUACAUAUCUCACAGUAACGAUAUCAUGAAGAAGUGGCCAAUCUACAGUUACUGAGUUACAUAGAUUGAAAAAAGACACUGUGUCAAUCAAGUUCAGCCUUUAUAGUGUGGCCAGAAAAAGACUGACAGCCCUAUGAUGAGCCACACUCACUGAUUCUGCAGCCAAACACUGUGUCAGUUGGUUAUAUCCUCUGUUUCCAAUUGGUCAUUGACUGUAUCCCAUCCCACCGGAGAGAUGGGUCCACCAAGGUGUGUGGAAAUUUUGAACCCUGUUGUAAGUGUGAAAAUAUGUUUGUCUAGUUGUAGUAGUGCAGUGUUGUGAUUACAAUGUGCAACUCACCAAAGGUUUGCAAUAUGGGAUCGUAUUUAAUGUAUGUGUGAAUGUGUUUAGAAACAUAGAAUGUGACGGCAGAUAAGAACCAUUCGGCCCAUCUAGUCUGCCCAAUUUUCUAAAUACUUUCAUUAGUCCCUGGCCUUAUCUUUUAGUUAGGAUAGCCUUAUGCCUAUCCUACGCAUGUUUAAACUCCCUCUCUGUGUUAACCUCUACCACUUCAGCUGGAAGGCUAUUCCAUGCCCCCACUACCCUCUCUGUAAAGUAAUAAUUACUAAGAAUUAUUUUUUUAACCUUGCCCCUUGGUUUCCAAAUACAUCCUGAGCAUGUUACUGUUGCCCAGCAUCCAGGGGAUGUUACUAUUGCGACCCCCAAGGUUGAACAGAUUCUACUGAUGAAACAUUAGCCCACUGAGCUAUAUCACCAGGCUGUUUAGCAGAUAUGCCCAAUCUUCAGCAUAUCAAGUGGGAUUAUAAGGGGGGUUUUAUACUAUAGUUAGACCCACAUGGGCUUUGUUAAACUUUUUACUUUGGUGGCUGGCUAGUGAUAGGUUUUUAACGAUUUGCUGUCUGGCUGCUAGCACUGGUAGUUUAUCUCACAAUGUAAUAGAGUUGGUGAUUUUAAGUGAGCAGCAGAAUAUGCAAAAGGGCUGGAGCAUUUUGGUAACCAGAUAAAAAUAAACUAUGAUAUCAAUGGCCCCUACUGAAGAUGAAUAGUUCCAAGUUAAUCAACAUUUGAAGGUUGGUAAAGUGUGUCAAUGUUAAAUCUGGGAGAGUUGUACAUGCACUGAUGUUUUAAAUGCAAAAUUAUUGUCUGCCACAUGAUUUAACUCUUACACCGCAGAGUGUUUUUUUUUUUUUAACGAUUUGUCUUCUGACUGCUAGCGCUGGCAGUAAGUAUGUAGUACUGAUUAUUAUAGCAAAAAGCAAGUGGACAAUCAUUUCCAAAUAAGAAUCCUACUGGAUACACAUUUGGAAUUAUCUGGUUAUCUUUAGAAUCUGUGCUUUGUAAAUGUAUGGAUCAUAUACUUCAAAUGUGAAAUGAACGGCUUUUAAAGUUGACACUGAAUGUGCCCAGCAACAUGGUGCAGAUUCUGCAUUCUUUCUUUCUACAGAUCCAGAUAUGCACCAUGAUUUCCAGUGGCAAAAACAAACAUUUCGAAAUUUAGCAAUAUCAUAUGCAAACAAUGAAAUGCUUUACCUUUAAUCAAAAUUAGAAAUUCAAUGGCACUCUUCCACCCUUGCUCCUCCAUUCCUUUUAACAUGUUUCCUCAGCUGCCUCUAAUCUUAACGAUUUAACUACCUUACACAUUAUUCAGUAUUUACAUAUUGCCCCAGAUCUCAGGCCAUCAACAUCAUAUCUCAAUUUCCCAUUAUUACCCAUUUAGAUUGGAAGCUCACAUGAUGUCUUGCUAAGCACUUUGUUUGCUAGACUGUAGGCUCAUGGGCAGAGCCUGUUUUUGUUUGCAUCAGUACAUGUUCAUUAUUUGUCUGUAUUAUUAUUUAUAUAGCGCCAACAAAUUCUGCAGCGCUGUACAAUGGGGUGUUCCCUCUAUUAUGCAGCUGUCGGCACUAUAUACAUACCAAAUAAUUAUAAUAAUUAGACUUGUUUAUAUUAAUUUAGGUGGGCUCCAAUUCUGAACUCAUUCAGAUUAAUUUUGUGAUGGCUUUUAAUAAAAUAUGUAUAAUAGAGAGUACAUUUUUUUUUCUCUUUUUCAUCAUGGUAGCCCACCAUGUAUCUCAGCAAAGUGUUUGUCUGAUGGACAAACUGGAAGGAAGAAUCCAUUACAAAAAUAACACCAAAUACAAAGUUAAGCAAUGCAUACCAUGACAUUCCAACUACCCUUCAAGGAAGGAUAGACUAUAUUCUUCCACACUAUCAUGGAAUCACAAUCAACACAAACCACAUACCACUCGAUCCAAUAAUUAUCAAACCCAGCCAAGACACCUCUACCCAGCACAUGAAUAUCACAUCUCUUUUCCCACAGCUUCCAACUAUCAUAAACACAAUGAUAAUCCAACAUAUUCCCCAGGGAUAUAUCAAAAUGAUAGGCAACAAGACCCAAAGCCCAAAGAUCUAGAUUCGCACACAGACACUUUGAAAGCACUAAGUCACCUAUCAGUUACACUCACAAAAACAGAUAUCAAAUGUUAUCUAUAGACUCAGAAUCUGAAAAUGAUGAUUAUUUUUAGAAUUAUGCACUCAGAACAACACCCACGCACAAACACCACAUCCUACAAAAACGAGGAAAAGGAACUUAAGUUUAGAGGAAGGAGAAGUGGGAGAGGAACACAAAAGAGAAAGGCUAGAUCGACAAUAACUCCUAUAAAUGAGAGGGAACUUGGCAUUUUUAAUUUAUCACAAAAAGCCCUAACAGCCACACAAAUAUCAGUCCUCAGGAAAUGACUUAAGUUCGCUCCUACGAACCCUUAUAAGCCAUUUAAAGCAUUCAUAGAUAUUAAUAAAUUUGUAAGGAAGGCUACCCUUAAGAGAUUCUUUGCCAGCAAAAACCUAGACACAAUUACUCCGAAACUCCCAGUUACAUUACCAGAUGAUUGCCCAAACGUAAUAUCUACCUCUCUAAAAAAGAACUCCACCUUUUUCCCAUCAAGUUUCAAAACAGGCCCCCUAGAGGUCUUCAAAAAAUUGGUCACAAAAGAAUUUGAAAAAAUCAAAAGAGACAAAUAUAAUCAAGACAAUCUCUCACAAUUAGAAUGUAAGGCAUUUUCACAAUUACAAAAAGAUGAAAGCAUUGUCAUAAAAUCAGCCGAUAAAGGUGGGGGAAUUGUAAUACUGUCUAAAGAUAUGUACAAAGGAGAAGCCAUGAGACAACUCAAUGACCAUAAGGUCUAUGAAAAAUUACCACGACACCCGACCCCAAGAAUCCAGCAAAUUUUAACCUCUUUUUUAAAUAAUGGCCGAGACCAAAAGAUUUUAAAUAAACAAGAAUAUGACUUUUUAAAUGUCUCUCAUUCAAAAAUUCCAGUUAUUUACUUCUUACCAAAAAUUCAUAAAGAUGAUAAAAAUCCCCCUGGAAGGCCUAUUGUAUCAGGGAUAAAUUCCAUUUUAUCAAACUUAUCUGAAUAUUUAGAUAUCCUCCUACAACCCUCUGUUAAAUGUAUGAAAUCGUACUUAAAAGACUCCAUGACUCUACUCCGUUUUUUAAAUAAUUUUAUUUGGAAAGACACUUAUUUUUUAGUUACUUGUGACCUACAAUCGUUGUAUACAAUUAUCCCUCAUGAUAAAGGCUGCUCCACAGUGGAAAAAUUCUAAGGGCAGAAAACAUAAUUCCAGACUAACAGAUUAGUUUUAUAAUAGAAGGUAUUAAUAUUAUUUUAAAAAAUAACUAUUUUUGGUUUUUAGACUCUUUUUAUUUACAGAAACAAGGUACUCCUAUGGGGACCAGAUUUGCGCCCAGUUAUGCAAACCUCUUUAUGGCAGAGUUGGAAACUACAGCCAUUUUUGGAGAGCAUGACUGGAAGACAAGCCUGGUCACAUAUUUUAGAUAUAUCGACGACAUGUUUUCUUAUCUGGGAAGGCACAGAAAGUUCCCUUAAUCAAUUUCUACUUUUUUUUAAACCAAAACAAUAACGGUAUAAUUUUAACACAUGAAUAUAGCCAAUCUGUUAUUCAUUUCUUAGACCUACAAAUUUUUAUCCAAGAUAAUGAGGUUCAUACUAAAACUCUUUUUAAAAAAGUCUGCACAGACAAUGUGAUUGAUAUAUCAAGCUGCCAUUAUAAACCAUGGCUGCAUGGAAUACCUAAAAGUCAGUUCCUCCGUUUGCGAAGGAACUGUUCUCUCACCCAAGACUUUGAAGACCAAUACCAUACGUUAUUAUGUAAAUUCUCACAAAAAAAUUACCCUACUAAUAACUUAAAUCAAGCUAUUAAAAAUGUUAGGGAAAAAGACAGAUUGGAUCUCCUAGAAUAUUGAGAUAACAAAACCUCUAAGAAUGCUCCAUCAUUGCCAAUUAUCUUCGACUUCAAUAACAAAAAUAAUGUUAUGAAGAAGAUUAUCAACAAACAUUGGCAUAUAUUAAAACAGGAUGAGACUUUAGCUGGGAUUAUCCCCAAAAAACCACAUGUUAUAUUCAGAGGGGCACCUAGCUUCAAAUCCAUCCAUACAAAGAAUUAUACCAAACAGAACCAAACUACCUCUUCUUUCUGUUCUCCCCCUUUUCUUAAUAAGCCCAAAGGUUUUUUUAAAUGCAAUAAAUGCAUAGUAUGCAAACAUAUGGACAACAAUAUUAAAUCAAAAACUACCUCCUUUAAAUCAUCCAUUACCCAAAGAACAUACCUUAUAAAACAUUUUAUCCACUGUAGUACUAAAAAUGUAAUUUACCUAUUAGAAUGCCCAUGUGGACUUCAAUACGUGGGCAUGAACACUAGAGAAUUAAAAAUUAGAUUGGCAGAACAUUGCCGAAAUAUUCGAAAAGGUUAUGAGAACCAUUCAGUAUCUAAACACUUUUUAAUACAUGGUAAAAAUCCUAAAUUUUUAAAAUGCAUAGGUAUAGACACUUGUAACAUCCCUUGGAGAGAUGGAGACAUAAAAAAGAUUCUAGGUAGUAAAGAAAUGGAAUGGGCAUUUAAUUUAAAAACUCUUACCCCACAAGGUCUCAAUAUAGACUUCAACUUUUUUAAUUUUUUAUAACUUUUAUUGCAUCUAUCCCUCCCUUUUAAUCAUGUAUUUUUAAUAAGAAUUAACAAAC